rnacentral:rRNA from 1 species
CCUAAAAUCAUUUGCAUAUCAAUAAGCGGAGGAAAAGAAACCAACAGGGAUUGCCCUAGUAACGGCGAGUGAAGCGGCAACAGCUCAAAUUUGAAAGCUGGCCUUCGGGUCCGCAUUGUAAUUUGUAGAGGAUGCUUUGGGUGAAACGCCAGUCUAAGUUCCUUGGAACAGGACGUCAUAGAGGGUGAGAAUCCCGUAUGUGACUGGAAAUGUUAACCUAUGUAAAGCUCCUUCGACGAGUCGAGUUGUUUGGGAAUGCAGCUCUAAAUGGGAGGUAAAUUUCUUCUAAAGCUAAAUAUUGGCGAGAGACCGAUAGCGCACAAGUAGAGUGAUCGAAAGAUGAAAAGCACUUUGGAAAGAGAGUUAAAAAGCACGUGAAAUUGUUGAAAGGGAAGCGCUUGCAAUCAGACUUGUUUAAACUGUUCGGCCGGUCUUCUGACCGGUUUACUCAGUUUGGACAGGCCAGCAUCAGUUUCGGCGGCCGGAUAAAGGCUCUGGGAAUGUGGCCUUCACUUCGGUGAAGGUGUUAUAGCCCAGGGUGUAAUACGGCCAGCCGGGACUGAGGUCCGCGCUCGCUAGAUGCUGCGUAACAAGAUCAA